rfam:Picea glauca, whole genome shotgun sequence.
GGGAUGGUAUGAUAAAUAGGUUAGUCCAGCUGUUCUAUAGGAGUAUCAGCAAGUGUGGGUUCGAAUCCCAUCCAUCCCA